UACAGAGGUGGCAAGCGUUGUUCGGAAUUACUGGGCGUAAAGGGCGCGUAGGCGGUUCUGUAAGUCCUGUGUGAAAUCCCUCGGCUCAACUGAGGAACUGCACGGGAGACUGCCGGGCUUGAGUUCGGGAGAGGGAAGCGGAAUUCCGGGUGUAGCGGUGAAAUGCGUAGAUAUCCGGAGGAACACCGGUGGCGAAGGCGGCUCUCUGGGACGGUACUGACGCUGAGACGCGAAAGCGUGGGGAGCGAACAGG
rnacentral:rRNA from 1 species